CCUACGGGAGGCUGCAGUGGGGAAUAUUGCACAAUGGGGGAAACCCUGAUGCAGCGACGCCGCGUGAGUGAAGAAGUAAUUCGUUAUGUAAAGCUCUAUCAGCAGGGAAGAAAAUGACGGUACCUGAGUAAGAAGCCCCGGCUAACUACGUGCCAGCAGCCGCGGUAAUACGUAGGGGGCAAGCGUUAUCCGGAUUUACUGGGUGGAAAGGGAGCGUAGACGGCAGGGCAAGUCUGGAGUGAAAGGCGGGGGCUCAACCCCCGGACUGCUCUGGAAACUGUACGGCUGGAGUGCAGGAGAGGUAAGUGGAAUGCCUAGGGGAGCGGUGAAAUGCGUAGAUAUUAGGAGGAACACCAGUGGCGAAGGCGGCUUACUGGACUGUAACUGACGUUGAGGCUCGAAAGCGUGGGGAGCAAACAGGAUUAGAUACCCCAGUAGUC
rnacentral:rRNA from 1 species